rnacentral:lncRNA from 1 species
UGACUUUUCAUGUCCAUUAGUAUUUGUUUUAUAUAGUUGGGCACAUUAGUUUUUGGUGCAUAGAUAUUUAUGACUGUCAUCUCUUCCUGUUGGAUUGUUUGCUUUACACAGAUGUAGUGUCCUUCUUUGUCUCUCUUAAUCAGUGUUGGUUUGAAAUCCACUUGAUCUGCAAAGAGGAUAGCUACUCCUGCUUUUUUUCAGGUUCCUGUUACAUGGAGUGUUGUUUUACACCCUUUAACUUUCAAUCUAUGAGUUUCUUUUUUUAAUUAAGUGUGUUUCUUGUAUGCAGCAUAUUGUUGAAUUUUGCUUCUUGACCCAUUCUGCCAGUCUAUUUCUUUUGAUUGGUGAAUUGAGACCAUUAACAUUGAUGGUUAUAACUGAUACAUAUUGCCUUAUCCUUGUCAUGACUUUUUCAUUUUGUUGGAUUCUCCCCCUUUAUAUUUAAGUUCUUGUCACACCUGAUGGACUCAUUCUGCUGUGCUUCCUGGGGUUGUGAUCCUCAUUGUCUGUUCCUAGUAUAUUAUCUAAAAUUUUUUUGGAGUGCUCAUUUUGUAUUCAUGAAGUUCCUAAGGUGCUCUUUGUCAUGAAAGUACCUUAUUUUUCCAUCAAUUUUUAAAGAUAGUUUUGCAGUGUACAUCAAUCUGGGUUGGAGGCUGUUGUUCUUUAGGGCUUGGAAUAUGUCACUCCAAGCUCUUCUUGCCUUGAGGGUUUGCAUUGAGAAGUCUGCUGUGAUUCUGAUGGGCUUUCCUUUGUAUGUGCUUUCCUUUGAUUUGUUUCUUUUCUCUAACUGCUUGUAGAACUUUGUUCUUCUGGUGAGUUUCCAGAAUCUUAACAAUUUUAUGCCUAUGUGUAGAUUGUUUUGGAUCAAGGCUAUUUGGACACCUGUAUGUCUCAUUUAUCUGUAUGUCAAGUUUUUUUCCCCUGCUUGGGAAGUUUUCUGCCAUUAUUUCUGCGAACAGUUCUUUUUUAUGUCAUCUGCACUCUCUCCUGUUUCUUUGUUGACUCUAAUCAGUCUUUUGUUAUUCUUCUUUGCAUCGUCUAGCAGCUGCUGGAUUGAUUUCUCACAUUUCCUUACAAUUUUGAAGCAAUUUUUCUUUACCUGGUCACUAAUUGCAAUUUUAUUUUCUAUAUCUGAAAUUCUGUCCUCACAUUGGCUCAUUCUGCUGUGUAGACUUUCAAUGGAGUUUUUCAUCUCCUGGAAAUAUUUUUGUAUCUGUUUUAUGGAUUCCAAUUGUUUCCUAUGUUGGGAUUCCAUCAUGUUCCUCAGCUCCUCUAUUUUUUUUUUAAUCUGUGCCCUCUCUAGAUUUAUUAAGCAUGUCUUGCACUAUGUGCAUAAUCUAUGCUGUUAUCUGAGAAAUUAUUUCUGAUUUCAUUUUUUCCAGAUCCUCUUUUGUUGCCAGUUCAGGGAGUCCAGGUGGUUGAGUAUCAGUGUUCCAUCUCCUUUCCUGUUGGGGUUGCUGUAGGUGAUCUGGGAAUCUGGUUUUGAGACUUGUUUACGUGUCUUCUCAUUUCCAUGGUGAGGCUUGCUGUUGGUGCCUGCAUGGCUCACCUUCUCUGCACUAGGAGCAGUGGAACGGCAUCCCAGAGGCCCCUUCCUCUGGGCUGGGAGUGGUGGAACCAAUUCUGAAUUUUCAUAUGCUAUCUCUGAAUCAUUUUGACUCCUUCUCAUGGUUUUAUACAAAUUUAAGACCUAUCAAAAUUGAUCAUUCCAGUAUUCACUUAUACCCCAAGAUUUUACCUUGAACUGUGUCAAUAUGAGAAACUUUGUGGGAAAUGGGUAUUGUAGCAAUUAGGGUGGAGCAUCAAUUUAACUGGUUUUGGGAUCCACUCUGGGGGUUGGUGGAUCACUCUUCUUAAUUUAUCAGGAUGGGUGGUUAUGCCCGUGGAGUCUAUUUAUGUCCCUGGAUCGUUCCUCUCUGCCACUCUUCUCCUGCUCUGCUUCCUGGCUGCCAUGAACUAUGCAGCUUUGUUCUAGCAUCCUUUCCACUAUCACAAUCCUGCCUUGGAGCCAGCUGACCAUGAAUUGAACCCCUUGAAAUAUUAUUCAAAUUAAAACUCUCCUCCUUUAAGUUGUGAGUGUCAGGUAUGAUGACGAACAAUGGGAAAGCUGAAGAAUACAAGUAUGUUUGCUUUUCAUGACAUUAACCUUAAAAGUUUAAGAGCAAUCCUAAAUAAUCAUUUAUUAAGCAUAUUUUAAAAUUCUUUUCUUUAAUUGACAAAUUUGUAUACUCAUGGAGUAUAACAUGAUGUUUUGUAAAAUUCAUUAUGUGGUAGAGUGGCUAAAUCAAGCUAAUUAACAUACAUAUUGUAUUAGUGAGCUUUCCUAUUGCUAGGACAAAAUAGUUGAUACCCCCAACUUAGAGGAGAGGCAUCAUUUUGCUAAUAGUUUCAGAGAUGUCAGUCCAUGGCUAGCUGGCUCCAAGGCAUAAACAUCAUGUUGGGAGGGCAUGGUAAAGCAAAACUGCUCACUUCUGGGCCCUACCUGCCAACAGCAGUUCAGCUAGAAACAUCAGUGGAUUAAUGCAAUUGCCUUUUGAAACCCCACCUCUGAACAUGUGAGACUAUUUGGGGACUAUUUUUAUCUAAAUCAUCACACAUUAUAUUAUGUUCUUAUCAUUUUUUGUACCAAGAACAUAAAAGCUACUCUGUUAGCAAUUUUCAAUUAUAUAAUAUGUUGCUCUUAACUAUAGUUAUCAUGCUGCACAAUACUGUAGAUCUCUUGAAAUUGUUCUUCCUAACUGAGAUGUCUUAUCCUUUGACCUUUGAGAAGCUUUACUACUCCCCAGCUCAUUAAGGAUCUGUCAUGAAUAAAUUCAUUUUAACAGUGCUAUAACCUUCAUAUAUUUUACACUUACAUUAGUAUAUUUUUCUACAUGCUGAUAAACUACUGAUUUGGCUAAUCCUUACCCACAGAAUUGCUUGAUUUAUUGACAAAGUGAGCUAGAUGUUUUCACAUUUUAUAGAUGUGGCCAAAGGCACACACCAAAUAAGCAAAAUGAAUAGGGAAAGUGCUUGUGACAGUUUGGCCUGAGGGCACUGUCAAGCUCUCCUGGCAUUCAAUAAUUUCCCUCUUCCAGGAAACCAAAGGGCAUGGCCAGAUCAAUUCUCAGAUCAGGUCAGCAUUAAACAUCAAUAAUCAUGGAAAAAUGUAGGAACUGGUGGCAAAUUUGAAUCAGACCCUAAGGAUGAGGUGGCAUCAUACAUAUACGGUGAAGGGAACAAAUCAGGAUGAAGAAGCUAUGAGGUUCAUCUUAGGAGUCAUAAAAGAACAGCAGGCUCUGGGAUAAACUGGAAAUGUAUGGAAAACAGGAAUGACAAGUAAGGCCAGAUCUGUGGGAAAGGGUAGUUUGGUAGAGAGGGUCACAAGGUCUUUGCAAAUCAUGGCUGCUCAGAAAGAAAUGCCUGUAGGUUCUUCCCUGGCUCCUAAAACCUCUUUGAUGUAAAUAGUUACAAUUGUAGGGCUUUUUGUGGUGGGGCUAGCCUUUUGCUAUCCAUAUCACACUGUGAAGCCAGCUUUCUCAUUAAAAUGAUUGGAAAUUGUAAUUCCUCUUUUAUGAUAGUAUCCCAUUCCAGAUUAGCAACACAGUAUUUUUUUAUUGAUUUGAAUUUUGUGAAGAAUCCUGCAAGUGAAGUCUUCUACAACAUGGGAGAACAAAGUCACUAAAUUAUGUAUAUGUCAUGUGUACAUAAAUAUAUUUGCAUGUGCAAUACAGAUCAUACAGUUUGUUUCUUUUAUUUUCCUUUACAAAAAAAGGAACCUAAAGUGCCAAAUCAAAGCUUGAACUAAAUGCUGUCAGGAUUCUGGCUUUGGGGGUUGUUAGAAACAUUAUGAGGAAAAAAUCCAACAGAAAAAUGCUCUGCUGUUAGUUGUGAGUGAAACCUAGAGACCAUCAGAGGGAGUACUUUAGCUGCUGUGAAAAGGCUCAGAGGGAGACAGAUAAUAAAUGUACAAUAAACAAUCCAAUGUCAGAAAUGUUCGGUAUUGCAAAAUGUACGCCUAUUUGUUUUUUAGCAAUUUCUAAUAGAUGAAGUUCUAACUCUAGUCAUGACCAGAUAUUAGCCGGAUAAUUCUUUGAAUCUGGCUAAGGUGGAAUCUUUCAAGGACAAAGAGGAUUUGCUCACUAACCGGAAAGUGAGGUACAGGUCAUGCAUGCUUAGACGUGCUAAUAGUUCUGGUCUUUAAUGAUACCAGCUUAAUGAAGAUGAUGUUAUGCAUUUUUAAUUGUUCUCCUCUGAUUUGACAUUAGCCAUGCCUUUCUCACUAAUAUGAAGAUUUGUUGGCCAGCACUGACAUUAGCUGAAACUGGAUCUUUAAAUUGUCAGUUCCUCCCGCAUUUCCUUUGCCUUUAUCUUUCCUAGUGCCUUGCAUUGACCAGCUCCACUUUAGGCCCAGAUUAGCCCUUUCUCCAUUCCUAAAUCAACGUUUAAAAUGGCAGAAACUAUACUAGCAACCUCAGAUCUCUUUAAUGGGGCUUGGAACACUGACCCAGGACUGAGCUUUAUGCAUUUAAUCUAACCCCUGAAUUACAGUGCUUUCCUACACUCUCUCUAGGUGACUUUUGCUUUGAUAUCCCAAUUGACAGCUUUGUCCCCCUAUAGGGCUAAGUCUUCAUCCUGAGCCUUGCCUGUCUCCUGCCAAUCUUCUCUCCAUAGAGUCUUCCUUAGUUCACUCCUGAAACCCUUCUAGCUCCAAGACAUGGACAGAUGAUGAUGAUGAUGAUGAUGAUGAUGAUGAUGAUGAUGACGACGACGACGACGGGCAUUAUGCUUGAUUUCUGAAUUGGAAUCUAUCUAGAAUAUUUUGUUGCUCAAUUGGAUCUCCUCCCUCUAACUAUUGUUGGAGGUGAUGGACAAUGCUCUGGUUAUUCCUACUGUCUUGGAUGAGGUCCUCCCUCUGCAUUCUGGUCAGGUUCCCUCAGUACCCACCCUAGUUAAUGGGUCUGCUUGGCCCAGUUUCCUAUUUUUUAAUAUUCUGCACAUGGAUACAUCUGUGAUUUGUCUUUGUAGAUGAUGUAAUGGGUAUUGUAAAAAGCACUAACUCCCAAAUUUCCACCAGUGAUACCCAAAAUUUCUUGUUACUAGAGAUUAACCAUUUUGAGAUAAGUGAUGUCUGUAAAAAUGCAGUAUCUUGGGUGUCUUAGAAUGUGCUAGGCUAGGCUGUGUAAACCCACAUAUAUAAUGUUUCAAAACAUUAGUUUAUUUCUUACACAAAACAAUCCUGUGAGGGUUUUCAGGUUAGCAAGGUUUUUCUCCACACUAUAGUCAUUUAAAGAUUCAGAUUUUUCUCAUCUUGAAGUCCUUCAAUUCCCUAGUAGCUCAGUUGCAUCUAUACUUAGCUGGUGAAAGAUAAGAACAAGCCUAGGGUGGGGAGUGUCAAACUUUUUUCUCAAAACUUUUGACCUUCAGGUGGCGUCUUACAAUUUUCUCACAUGGCAUUGGUCAGAAUUCAAUCACAUGGUUACAUCUAAUUUCAGGGGUGAGGUGGGGGCUGAAGAAUGUAGUUCAGUUAUUUUACCAGGAGAGGAAAAAAAGAGAAAAUAGAUUUUGGAGGAUAGCUGACAGUCUCUGCCAUAAUAAAUAAGGACAACACACUAAUUUGUUUUUGGCCUUUGAUACCUUAACACAGUUUAGUUUGUCAAAUUGCUAAUACCUUGGACAGCAGAUUGCAAAAUAAUAGAAUAUGGGCUAGGUCAGGGGAGCAAAAGAGAAAGGGUGAGGAGAAUUCAAUGCCAGUACAUGGAUCAUUUAUGGGAAAGGAUAGGCUUCUUUGAAGGCACAAGACUCUUAGAAAGUCAGAGGUCAAUGUGACAGUACUGGGAAUAGGCAACAAGGGGAUGGAAACAAAGUAAAGAUGCAAAGGUUGUCUCAGUUUUGUUUCAGGCUAGCCUUGAUUCUAUACUGAAAAUUCAUGCGAAAUGAGUGUCUUCAACAUUUCAACAAUUCAGCCCUAUGCUUAUCUUUUUGAGUCAAGCCUUUGUGAGGGAGAGGCAGCAAAAUACCCCCAAAGCUCAGGUUCUCAGUGUGCUCCACCAGAUUCCUGCUUUUUAUAAGGUUUCUUUUCCCUUAUUUCCAAACCAGAACAAUUUAAAUCUAAUCAAUGUCAUCAUUCUUUAGUCUUUGGGUCAAAAUGAAACAAAUUUUCUUACAGCUAUCCAUUUGGUGUCAAGCUUCCUGCUGAGAACCUUAUUAUGUAUAGAGUAAAAUCUUUUCAUAUCAGAAUGGGCUUGGUUUCAUGUUAGACUGCCUGCUUUACACAAACCAGGACUGACCUCUAGUUCAUUUACAUUCUCCCUUCCUCCACAGCCCUGCAGAUUGAGUGACUGACCCAUGCUGAUGACCCACUGACACAUCCUUAGCCAGCUGGGAUGAAACAUGAGUUGAUUCAGCAGAGAACAGGGAGGUGAGUGGGAGGGUGGAGGUUGCCAAGCAAUGAGCCUCAGAUGUUGUCUGCAGAGCUGCUAAUGGGGCUGAAUCUGGUUUGUGUUUAGCCUACAAGAACUUUGCAAAGGUAGACAGGAAACAAAGGUCUGGAGAUGCAGAGGCAUAGAAAUCAUAGAUUUUGCUUUUGUAGCUACUGUCCUGGAUAUAUUCACGAGAUGGCAAAAGAAUCAUUGAAGGUGGAGAGUCAUGAGCAGUUAUCUAUUCUGGAUGACUAGAUUUCUAAGGCUAUUAGGGUUUUAUUAGUAUAGACAGUUAUCCGUGUAAUGUAAUAUGAAGAGGAACAAAAUAUCCUUUUCUUUCUGUGACUGAAACCCCAUCAUUAAAGAUCACUAUGAACUUUCCAAAACAAUUUUGAUAAACUAAGUUUACUUAAUCAACAAUUAUGUAGCCCUCACUAUACUGUAGUUCUAAGGGCCUUAUAGGUAACAGCACUCUUAUUCUUUUUAACAAUGCUAUAGGGUAGGUACUAAUUUUAAUACUCCUAUUUUACAAAUGAAGAAAUAGAGAGAUAAAGGGGCCCAAGAAUACACAGGUACCGAAUGGCAGAGCAAGGAUUAUAAGUCCAGGCAAUCACUCAGCCCUUAUAAUACACUGUUCCUCAGUAUAGUACAGUAUGUUGUAGUUGAAGAAAGUGUAACCUAUUGUGUAGCAGAAAUUCAUUUACCUAAGCUAGCACAAUGGCUUGUGCCUGUAAUCCCAGCUAUUGAAGAGACUGAGGCAGGAGGAUGACAAUUUGAGGCCAGCCUGGGCAAUUUAGCAAGAUCUUGUCUCAGAAUUUUUUUUAAGUAACCAGAGAUAUAGCUUAUUGCUCCCUGGGUUUAAUUCCCAGUACUACAAAAAAAUAGAAUUCAGCUAAUUAGUUAUACUGUCAUACUUUCCACCUAGUAGAGAGCAGCAGGACUCAGAAUGUUUUGAAGAGAAGGGGCAUAAGAGGUCUGGAUGAAACUGUUGGGGGGGACAAGAAUGUCAGGAUGAAUUUAUUGUUGAAGAGCUAGAACUCCCACCCAGCACCUAUUUUCUCUUAACAUGCAUGAUUCAAGGAAUAGUACCUUUGUCUCUUCUAGUUUGUAUAAAUCUGAUUCCAGCAAAUAGCAUUCUCAGUUUCAUCUAUUUAAGAAAAUUUAUUUAGCAUACCCAGAGGCAGUAUGGGCUGGCUACAAAAUCAGGUGGACUUCCAUUCAUUCAGGAAGAAAAGAAUGAUGUGGCCGGACUGAGAAGCCAUGGGAAACCAUCUGCAGAUUAAGUUUUGGUUUGAUAUUCAGAGUCAAUGUGCCUUGCUGUCCCAGAGCAGCUCCUUGGAGACUGCUGUGCUAGGAUCAUUCCCCUUGCCUGACUUUCCCAUGGAUAAUUUGGUACUGGACAUUGCUCCCUGAUCACGUAAAGCUUCUGUUAGCUUUGUCCUGCCCUGUAUCUAUCUCCCUCACACUGUAUUCUGUAGAUGACUGACUGUCAGCUCUGUUGCCAAAGGGCCACUGCUGUCUCUCCAGAAUGUUUUCACCUGGUAUCAUAUGGCCCAUGGCUUUCAGUCUACAGCUGCCUCUUUAAUACACACCUGUCUGUGGCUCUUCAAAUCUUCAAUUCUUGUAUUAUACUUUUAUCUCGCUAGAUAUUCCAAAGGAAUACCUGAUGGAAAAGGGGAAAAAGUGAUGGUUUUGGUGGGUAUUUCCUUACUAGUCCUUUUUCUUGGGACAAUUAUCCCAGGUAGACACUGUAAUUAGAUCAUUUAUUCAGCAGAAACCCAAGCACCUACUACGCACAGGAUCAAGGUAAAUCACUACAUGUCCCAGGCAACUUGAGCUGACCUCACUACGCCAUUGCAUUCUCUGGUAGAGAAAGAAAAAAAAAUCUUGACUGACAAAUAGGCUUUUCAUUCCCUGUGCAUAACUGGGGAUUCAGCUCCUACACUUUGGCUCUGAGCUCGUUGUCUUCAUAAUUAAUGCUUUUUAAAAAGAGCAGAUUUGGAAAGAACAUGGAAACAAGAGGCUAAGUCUCCAGAGGGAGCCUUAGAAGUGGACUCAGUGCUCCCCUCCACCACCAUUAAUCCCCCAUAGUCACAUGUGGAGAAUACAAAUGCCCUUCUCAGGCCCUCUGGUUCAAUUUCACCAUAAGACAAUUGACCUAUCGCCACUGUGAGAAGCAAAGCCUCGAACAAAGCAGCUGCCGAAAGGACUUUGUCAAGCUGGAAAUGAAUUAUUAAUAUGGCUCUGAAAGGGAACGGCACCAGAAACCAGGCUCUUUAUUAUUUACAUUAAUGAACUGGAAGACGAUGCAGUGAGCAAAAUCCCAAGUUUGGAGAAUGCUACAGUUUGAAGUGCAAUAAUGAGUGAAAAC